rnacentral:rRNA from 1 species
UACGUAGGGGGCGAGCGUUGUCCGGAAUCAUUGGGCGUAAAGAGCGUGUAGGCGCCAGAAAAGUCCGCUGUGAAAACUCGAGGCUCAACUUCGAGCUGUCGGUGGAAACUUUCUGGCUAGAGUCCGGAAGAGGAGAAUGGAAUUCCUGGUGUAGCGGUGAAAUGCGCAGAUAUCAGGAAGAACACCCGUGGCGAAGGCGGUUCUCUGGGACGGUACUGACGCUGAGACGCGAAAGCGUGGGGAGCGAACAGG